AAAUUCAGAGCAUCAAACACUUUACUUCCUCCAUUCUCGUGAAUUUUUGUGCGUCAGUAUGAGCGUUUUCACCACUUUAUGGAAACUUUCAGCAUCAGCACUUGACUUCCUGUAUUCUGCUGAACUUCAUGAGCCAGUUUGCGUCUUUACUGCAACAGUUCAUGGUGGAGACGUCUGGAACACAACAGUCAGGCACCAGGUGACAAAACAUAAUGAAAUAUAAUGCAUUGAGACUCCAUUCAUUCUCCUGUACCUAGAUCUGUUUUCUCUUUUAAUAUUAACCCUUUUAAGACAACAGAAA